CAAAGCUGAAAUGAGAAAAACAGGGAGAUUGAUGGCAUGAGAAGAAAUGAAAGAGGUCGUUUAGUAGGAUGGAGAAGAGAGGAGAGGAAAGAAGGAGGCAAACCACACUUUUCUCCUCCUGGCUUAGAGUUUACCGAGGGGAGAGUCUUCAAUAUUGGCUGAAGCAAUGAAUGGCUCCUUGUGACUGUGUUCAAACUCACCGCAGACGUGCCAUGAGGAGAAGCUGGGAGCUCAGCAGACACGAAGAUGAUGCAGAUCACUAAGGUCAUCCUGCCAACGCUUUCACUCCGUGCCCUUGUCACUCUUGUCUAAAAUCUAAAGGUGACUGUGCCUUUGCUGUUACUGCCUCCAGGCUUUGGAAUUGACUGCCAGCCCACAUGAAGACCUCUCCAACAAUUGACAGUUUUAACUAAAGAUCUGCGUAUUUUCACUUGCUUUAUUCAAGUCUGUCAAGUCCAGUGUGAAUGUUUUCUCACUGCGCUUUCUUUUUAAAACUGGUGUUUCUAUUGUUAGCUUUAUUUUAGGUAUUAAUUUGUAUAUAUCACAUUUCGCAUCAUCAUAUCACAUCCUUGUUAUUUUUGCUCUGCCUUUCAUUUUUUUUCAUCACAUUAUUUGCUCAAGUGAGUUUUAUGUUUUGUAAUUGAGGUUUUUUUUAGACUUGAAAUGUAAAUGUGUCUGCCUGGAAAGUGCUGUGGGUCAACUCCAGUUGAUUUAAAUGUGCUAUGUAAAUAGAAGCGACU